rnacentral:snoRNA from 1 species
UAAGCAGCCUUCUCUGGCCCAAUGUUCUGGCCCACUUGGACUUUACCCUAGGGUAAAGUUCGAGUGGGCCAGAACGGUGGGCCAGAGUGGGCUGCUUA